AGGAUGAACGCUGGCGGCGUGCCUAACACAUGCAAGUCGAACGUCCUGUCUCGCAAGAGGCAGGGAGUGGCGGACGGGUGAGUACCACGUGGGUCAUCUACCGUGAGGUGAGGAAUACCGGCGAGAAAUCGCCGACAAGACCGCAUAGGCUCGAUGCAAGUCGAGCAAAGCUCUUUCGAGAGAGGGAGCGCCACACGAGGAGCCUGCGCCCGAUUAGCUAGCUGGUGGAGUAACGGUUCACCAGGGCGACGAUCGGUAGCUGGUCUGAGAGGACGAUCAGCCACACUGGGAUUGAGAACGGCCCAGACUCCUACGGGGGCAGCAGUGAGGAAUUUUCGCAAUGGGGGCAACCCUGAACGAGCAACGCCGCGUGCAGGAGAAGGUUUCGGAUCGUAAACUGCUUUUCUCGGGGACGAGAACGGACGGUACCCGAGGAAUCAGCCCCGGCUAACUACGCGCCAGCAGCCGCGGU
rnacentral:rRNA from 1 species